UUAGAACAAUGCAGAAUUUGACGAAUGAGCUUCAGGAUGCUGAGCACGUGAAAUUCGCGCAGACAGCGUCCUAAAGUUUACUGAACAGGAAAGUUUCUUGUGGCUAGCUGGCAGAAAUCCCAGGUCGAAAAAACGCUCGUCAACUUUGAAUGGUUUUGACGUUGAUGAAGUCUUGCCUGUUGAGGAAGAAUCGCUUCAAUCGGCCACAGUUAGCUCUGUUGGUUGAAUUUGCUGAGGAUUGGGAACGGCGACGUGUGUCUGAGUUUAGAGCAUGGAGGUUGCGGACUGACGGUGAACAAGAGGUGGUCUUCAGCUCAAUAAGAGAAGGAAGCAGCUUCCUGGCUUACUGGAGUCCAAACAGAGAGUACUACGAGGCGACAGUUGUGGAAACGACUCAUCACACAGUAAGAUCUAGAAGCCCGUCCUGUCAUAGUGUGGAGUUUGGUAUUGGUGAUGGCUUGUCUUCGCGCGGAUUACCUUUACAUUGUAUACUGAGAUGUCCAAUUGAGGCUCCACUUAUAGUGCAUCGAUCAGGACAUCACAAGCUUCCAGCCAAACGGCAAAUAGACCUAGAUCUAGAUCGAUCUCUGCUAUCUAGGAACGUGAAGUCAUGCAAGCAAGUAACAAACGCAAAAGGAAGUCUGAUGUCAUGAUCAAGGCCACAGCUCAGGAAGAUAGAAACAGGAUUCUUCUGAAACCAGCUGCUGAGCAAAGAAAACGGAAGGUGGAAUCAACUAAUGAAAAGCCUUUUGAUUCUUAUAAGGCAAGAGUGUACCAGAGUAAAGAUUCAUCAUGACUAUUAUCGACCAUGUUUGUUAGACACAUUCUGAAGAUGAUGAUAAUCUGGAAGUGACUGCAGAAUCAGCUGAUGUAAGCUUGAAUCCAUAUUUGUGCAGAGCAAAUACAUGUAAAUUAUGCAGCUGUCUGUGUAGAGAUUGAAGUGUAGAUAUGUGCUAGAGUGUAUGGAUGGGUGGGGAUAGAGAUUGUUGAUUAAUGUCUGUUAGUUCUAAAUCUAGUGAUUUGGAUGUUUGUGUUCUUGAGUUAUGUGCUGUUAUUCCUGCACUUUUAAGAUUUCAAACUUAUUCUUAUAUGUCAUGGUAAACUACAAAAGGCAUAAGAGAUCCUUGAAUGAACUCUUUCAAUGUUUGACGAUCUACUUUAUGAUGGAUCUGUACCAGUGUAUGUCCAAUUUAUGUAUGGAUGUGUCAAAUUGUACAUACAAUGAAGAUACAUGCAGGUGUGUAAACGUGCUAUUUCAACAUUUUCUAGUUAAAGGAAGUCAAGAACAGGGUAAACCUAGAUCACUGCAUGUGUAGACCACUUGUAAUAGAAACAUGAUCAACUCUUUGAUAUGAUAUAUUUUUAUACCUAUCUCAAAUUACAGUCUAAAUGGUACAGUACUGGUGAUUUGUUGGGUACAGUCAAUUUUGAUUCAUUCAAAUGGCGAUAAUUCUUGCAGGUCAGAUUGUACAUUCAUCUAUACAAAUACUAAAGACUAAAGACUCGUGUGUGUUUGUGUGCCUGUGUUUGUGUGCCUGUGUUUGUGUGCCUGUGUGUGUGUGUGUGUGUGUGUGUGUGUGUGUGUGUCUGUCUGUCUGUCUGUCUGUCUGUCUGUCUGUCUGUCUGUGUCGGUCUGUGUGUCUGUGUGUGUGUGUGUGUGUGUGUCUAUGUCUGUCUCUGUGUUUCUGUGUCUGCGUAGGUAAACAUCCGUGACUCACUGGUGAACAAUGGAUUACUUGUUUCAAUGAACCAGCUGAAACUGCUUGGUUACUCAGCACAAGCACUCACAGAACUUAAAGGAUCAAAUGCGGCUGCUUAUGAUCAAGUUUUUGCUGAUACAAACUUUGGCAUGUAGAACUUUAAACUCGAAGUCAAAGUUGAGAGUUACAAUGAAGAAGAAAAGAUGAAAUGCACCUGUAUUUCUGUCAAGUAUGUCUAGAAAAUGUGACAGAAAAAUUACUCCAAAUUUUGUGAGCUGUUGUGCGUAUGAACUAGAGGUGAAGUAGAGCUAGACGUGAAGUAGUCAAUGUUGUAUCUGACAAUGGCAAUGCUCUUACACACUUCCUUGUCAAGUUUGAUCAUCCUAAUGUGGGAAUAAAAGCCAAACUAUGUAGUCAGUUCGGACAA